UCUGUAGAAUGUGGAUCGUCCAUCUUGUUUGUUUACAUUCCGAAUCGGUGCUAAUUCAAGAGAAAUUUCUGCUCCCAGCAUUAAAAUAAAUAUCAAUAUAUUAAAUAAUAUUGUGCAUGACCAUAAGCAAAGUCAAGAUGCCUACAAUGGUUAAAAGGCUUAAAUAAAGAUAAAACGUAUGCCUAAAUAUAUCCAAUAAGACCACGAAUUGUGCCCUCGAAACCGCAACUGAUUCGAUUGUUCCCAAUAUCAACAGACGAAGUCCUCAAAUAUUUUCAAAGGAUUAAAACUCGCCCAAUAUAAGGCGUUCGUAAAAGUUUCUCUUCAUACAAAACUUACCUACGGCGGUUUACGUACAUACGUGUACAACGCAAACAAGACGAAAAAUAAACUUGUUAAUUAAAAAAACAAAAAAAAUUGGGACAA